GUGUUUUAAGGAUGCAAAACCCCACGAUGUCAACGUGGGGGUCACUGGUUCGAGUCCAGUUGUGUCCA
rnacentral:tRNA from 2 species